rnacentral:rRNA from 1 species
UUUGAUGGCGACCGGCGCACGGGUGAGUAACACGUAUCAACCUGCCGAUGACUCGGGGAUAGCCUUUCGAAAGAAAGAUUAAUACCCGAUGGCAUAGUUCUUCCGCAUGGUGGAACUAUUAAAGAAUUUCGGUCAUCGAUGGGGAUGCGUUCCAUUAGGUUGUUGGCGGGGUAACGGGCCCACCAAGCCUUCGAUGGAUAGGGGUUCUGAGAGGAAGGUCCCCCACAUUGGAACUGAGACACGGUCCAAACUCCUACGGGAGGCAGCAUG